CUUUUGCCCCCAAACUUUUUGUGCCAUCUCAAGAUAUUGUGCUAGAAUUAUGUGCCAAGUUUAGUUCAAAGCAAAAAUCAUUUGGUGUCCCAACUUAAUGCAAAGAGGUUUGGCAAAUGUCAAACAGUAAAAGAAAAGGCUUAAAAGGGAAAAAGGAAUCUGCGACUGCUGCACUGGGCCCUAGUGGCCACAGUGCAGCCCAGCCCACCACGCCUCCUCCCUCCUCCCCUGUUCACCAGGUCAUGGUGGCCGGCUGCAGUGUGUCCACGACCAUGGAUGGCCACUCGUCGGCCAUCCGUCCUCCCCCACAUCGCUUAUUUGAGGCCCCCGAGCCCCCUCGUCGAACCCUAGCUUGCUAUUCCCCUCUCCCUCGCGACUCUCUCUCUCAGUUUCUUCUCCACUCGAGCACCUCCAAUCGCCGCCGCCGUCGUCCACCGCGGUGACCGUCUCCCUUGUCCCUUUCCGAUGCAUCCCGGAGUUUCACUUCCACCGGCUACUUCCUCUACGCUGCAGAACGCGAGCCGGGACCCACCUCUUCGUCGGGAUCGAGUACUUCCCCGCGUUCGGACACCACCGCCGUGCCUCGGAUCUCCUCCCUUGGCACUUCCCCGACCUCCUGAGCUCGUCAACGAGGACCACUAAUGUCGCAACUAGAUGGUAGAGCCGAGGAACCAGACGCCACCGUCGACGACGACUACUACUACCACGAGGGUACUCUACUAUGUGGACGCCGCCGACGACCAAAAGUAGUUAGGAGGCUCCCAUGCAGGAGGCCUUGCCUUUUCGAUCGAUGUUGCUUUUGGGCUAGCCUUCUUAAGGCAAACUUGUCUAACUUAUGUCUGUACUCAGAUAUUGUUGGUUUCGCUGACUCUUUGUAUUCAAGCUUAUGUAUUCGAGCCCUCGAGGCCCCUGACUUGUAAUAUAAAGCUUGUAUUGUUUUAA